CAGCCGCCGCGGUAAUACAGAGGGUGCGAGCGUUAAUCGGAUUUACUGGGCGUAAAGCGUGCGUAGGCGGCUUUUUAAGUCGGAUGUGAAAUCCCUGAGCUUAACUUAGGAAUUGCAUUCGAUACUGGGAAGCUAGAGUAUGGGAGAGGAUGGUAGAAUUCCAGGUGUAGCGGUGAAAUGCGUAGAGAUCUGGAGGAAUACCGAUGGCGAAUGCAGCCAUCUGGCCUAAUACUGACGCUGAGGUACGAAAGCAUGGGGAGCAAACAGGAUUAGAUACCCCGGUAGUCCCUGUCUCUUAUAC
rnacentral:rRNA from 1 species